AUCAGGUAGGGAUACCCGCUGAACUUAAGCAUAUCAAUAAGGCGGAGGAA
rnacentral:rRNA from 2 species